rnacentral:snRNA from 1 species
AGCUUUGCACAGUGGCUGUAUCGUAGCCAAUGAGGUUUAUCCAAGGUGUGAUUAUUGCCAAUUGAAAACUUUUCCCAAUACCCCACCAUGAUGACUUGAAAAAAAG